AGGAUGGGUAGUGAUUUUUCUUCCUUAGCAUCACACAUAUCCACCCCAAGUCCACUCUCUUUAUCUCCUUUUACUGCCCCAAAAGUCUUCUCCCUUAUCUUAUUUUCUUGGCUGCACCAGAUCAGAAAGUCCAGCCCCUCUUUUUCUAAUCUUUUUCUUGUUCUUGUUCCUUCUUCUUCCUUUGCUCUUACACGGCAACCCUCCCUCUCUCACCAAAAUAAUAUAUCCCUCUCUAAAGAAGAAAUUAAAAAGUUAACACUAAAAUUUCAGCUUCAAAGUUUGUGGGUGUUACUAGUUCCUCAGGUCUAAACUCCUUCAACUGUAGGCUCUCGGUUCCUUUGCUUUCAGCAUCUCCUGCUAUGGGCAUGUGACCAAGAUAUUUGCAAAGGGGUCCUAGCUUGUGCACAAGCUGGCUUGAGGUGAGUUUCGAUUAAGCCAAUUUCGACUCUCUUACCCCAAAACUAUUAGGCCAUAGUAUGGCAAGAAACAGCCAAGUCCAGAAUGCAAAAGGCCCGCCACAAAUGACAUAUCUAGGGGCAGGGAAGUAGUGCUAGACCUACCCUCCACCCCUAGAACUAAAGAUAAUAGCGAAUGAUUUGAUAAUGACCCAUUACCACAUUUGUUCGUACUUAAAAAUUUGCCCCUCACCCCCCUUGUAAACAUCAAGGUUAGGAAGGAAAUGGAUGGGUUUAUUAUAGGAGCGAAGAAAACGAUAGAAGAGAAGAAAUUGAGAAUGGGAAGAGAUAUACUUUUUCUUUUUUUAGAAUACUUAGUAUUUUUUAACACACACACGGGGAGAGGGGAGAAGGUUUUUUAAAGAAACUUACAGUAAUGUAUAUCCAAAAAGGCCUGGGAAGAGAUAUACUUGAGUGUGGGAAAAGAGAGCUCUUCUCGAGGUUGUAAAUUGUAGGUACUUAUGUAAUUGUGACCUCUACAUUAAUAAUACUAAAUCAAUAAUCUCAUUGUUUUGAGUCAAAUAACACUUCAUCCCAAACUUGGAGGAAAAAAAAAAAUACUCCUCUCCCUUGACAAUUGAAGAAAAUAACACUUCCCUCUAUAACAUUAAUAUCAAUAAUAAAAUAUUCUAAACUUUAAAAAGAUUCUUUAUAUCAAACUUUGACUAUAGUUAGUGAAAAUAUAACUAAUACAAUUUAGUAUAAAAAGAAAAGUUUUUCCAGCACCAAAAAACUUGCAAUGGUUCUUGUAUGAGUAGAGAUGGAGGUAUGAAUCUUACAUAUUUUGCUUCUUUUUUUUUUUUUUUUUUUUUCCUUCACAAAAUAUUUUCAUGAUUAUUCUUCAGUUUUUAAUAAUUGUGAAUUUUAACUUUUUAAGUGUUGAGGGAAUAGACAGUUAUUGCUUCUCCAAAUUUCAGUUUUUACUUUUUAGUAUUUAUUUUACAAUUUCAAAGCAUUAAUGGGAAAGUUAGUUAAGUUGCUGGAAUAAAUAAAUAAAUAAAUAAAAACAGUUCUUUUUUUUCUUUUUUCUUGACAAAAACAAAAAUAGUUCUUGAAAGAUGUAGGAAAUAUUUUUUUAAAAAUAAAAUAAAAUAAAAGAAGAAGAAGAAGAAGAAGAAGAUAUAAGCAUUGCUUAGAAACUAUGAUUUUUUAUGGUUAACUGUAUUUACACUAUGUUUGGUUGUAGCUAUGGAAAGAGAAAAGAAAGGAAAGGAGGAAGGGAAGGGAAAGAAAAAGAAAAAAGAAGAGAAAAUAUUUCUCUUUGAUAUGUUUGAACGAAGGAAAGAAAAGAAAGAAGAAAAUAUGUGUUUUUACUUUGUACCUUUAUUAAUAGGCGUAAAUGCUCUUUUCGUCCCUAUAUUUUGGGGUCAUUUCUAUUUUGGUCCUUACAUUUCUAUUUUACCACUUUUAGUCCUUAAUCCAAUUAACGCUUGUUAUUUUAGUCAUUUUCGUCACUCAACUAAUAGAAAAAGCUGACGUGGCAAACAGAGUGCAUUGUUGACACAGUAAAUGCUGACGCGGCGAAUAAAAUAAUAAUAAUAAAAUUUAUUUAUUAUUUAAAAAAUGCCAAGUCAACAUAAAAUAAUAAUAAAUGCCACCUCAGAUCCAUAUCAAUUUAGAAUUUUAAAUUUUAAUUGAUCAAUUUAUAAAAAAAAAAAACAGAAUUAAAAAUAAAAAACACAUGAAUUUAGAUCUAACAUCCUCUUCAUCAAGAACACAGAAGAGCACAGCCUAGAAAAGAUCAUACAAACCUAGAAAAUCAAACACAAAGAACACAAGAAAAUCAAACUCAAAAAAAUCAUAAAUGAAUAUUGUACAAAACAAAAUCAAUCCACAUAUAUACAUAAACCAAAUUAAAAAAAAUAAAUAAAUAAAUAAAACUUGAAUUUAGAUCUGUUAAUUCGUUGGUUUCUCCAUCUUCAUCUCUCUCUCUCAAACACAGAAAAGAAACAAAACAAAUCUAAAGUUGGGCUUUGAAUCUAACAGCAACCCAUGAAUACAACAAUUACAACUAAAUCUGAACAAGGUGGAAACCCAGAUCAGCAAAAUCAUAACCCACAAUUACAUAGACAAAAUUUCAAAACCCAAACCCAAAACUUAACCCAGUUUUUUUUCACUACUCCAUUUCCUCAAUGCCCUAUUCUCUCUCUCUCUUCAUUCACCAUGAACCAUAGAAUCAAAGCAUCUACCAAACCCUUCUCCUCUUCCUCACCAACCAGAUCCGAGCCUUUCCACUUCCACAAGUACCUUAAACCCGGCGCCCUAGCCCAAAUCUGCGACUCCCAAAUCACCGCCCACCAACUCAACUCACUCUACCUCCUCUCCUCCUCCAUCUCUCUCCAUCGCACGUCAUCUCCACCAUCCUCCAACACUACCGCUCAACAAACUUCGAUCAACGCCUUCACCGACAGUAUCCCCUGCUUCUCCGGCAGGAUCUACAACCCGCGCUGUCCCCAGAGGAAGAAGCUCGUGGCGGCCAAGUCUGUGCUUUUCCUCAACCCGAUCCCUAACUCAGUCCAGGACUCGCCCGAUUCGCUCAGUAAUGACGUUCUCCUUGCUCACUGAAAUGGAUUACUUCGAUUCUUAGUCAAAGAUUUUUCAUGUUGUAGAGAGGGUUCUAUAUGUAGUUGUUUCUACUUUGUUCAAUUAUGUGAAAAAAAAUUUGGGUUUGGGUUUUGAAAUUUUGUCUAUGUAAUUGUGGGUUAUGAUUUUGCUGAUCUAGGUUUCCACCUUGUUCAGAUUUGGUUGUAAUUGUUGUAUUCAUGGGUUGCUGUUAGAUUCAAAGCCCAACUUUAGAUUUGUUUUGUUUCUUUUUUGUGUUUGAGAGAGAGAUGAAGAUGGAGAAACCAACGAAUUACCAAAUCUGAAUUCAAGUUGUAUUUAUUUAUUUGGUUUAUGUAUAUAUGUGGAUUGAUUUUGUUUUGUACAAUAUUCAUUUAUGAUUUUUCUAAGUUUGAUUUUCUUGUA